UACAGAGGGUGCGAGCGUUGUCCGGAAUCACUGGGCGUAAAGGGCGCGUAGGUGGCGCAACAAGUCAGUGGUGAAAGCUCGACGCUCAACGUCGAGUCGGCCACUGAGACUGUUGGGCUUGAGCACUGUAGAGGCUAAUGGAAUUCCGGGUGUAGCGGUGGAAUGCGUAGAGAUCCGGAAGAACACCGGUGGCGAAGGCGGCGCUCUGGACCGAGACUGACGCUGAGGCGCGAAAGCGUGGGGAGCAAACAGG
rnacentral:rRNA from 1 species